rnacentral:rRNA from 1 species
UACGUAGGGGGCAAGCGUUGUCCGGAUUUAUUGGGCGUAAAGAGUGUGUAGGCGGUGUUCUAAGUCUGGUGUGAAAUCUCCCGGCUCAACUGGGAGGGUGCGCUAGAAACUGGAAUGCUAGAGGAUGGGAGAGGUAAGCGGAAUUCCUGGUGUAGCGGUGAAAUGCGUAGAUAUCAGGAGGAACACCUGUGGUGUAGACAGCUUACUGGACCAUUUCUGACGCUGAGACACGAAAGCGUGGGUAGCAAACAGG